GAGUUUGAUUAUGGCUCAGAUUGAACGCUGGCGGCAUGCUUUACACAUGCAAGUCGAACGGCAGCACGGAAGAGCUUGCUCUUUUGGUGGCGAGUGGCGAACGGGUGAGUAACGCAUCGGAACGUACCGAGUAGUGGGGGAUAACUGUCCGAAAGGAUGGCUAAUACCGCAUAUUCUCUGAGGAGGAAAGCAGGGGACCUUCGGGCCUUGCGCUAUUUGAGCGGCCGAUGUCUGAUUAGCUAGUUGGUGGGGUAAAGGCCUACCAAGGCGACGAUCAGUAGCGGGUCUGAGAGGAUGAUCCGCCACACUGGGACUGAGACACGGCCCAGACUCCUACGGGAGGCAGCAGUGGGGAAUUUUGGACAAUGGGGGGAACCCUGAUCCAGCCAUGCCGCGUGUCUGAAGAAGGCCUUCGGGUUGUAAAGGACUUUUGUCAGGGAAGAAAAGCUUGAGGUUAAUACCCUUGA
rnacentral:rRNA from 1 species